CAAGGUUUCUGUAGGUGAACCUGCAGAAGGAUCAUUAGUGAACUACUAGGACGUCCAUUAAACCGGAGUCCGAACAUCACUUUUAAACACCAAACCCGUGAACCGUGUAUACCCUUUUUAAACCCAAAAAGUUUAGCAAGUCCACUGCGUAUGCAGUAAAUAAACCUAUAAAACUUUCAACAACGGAUGUCUUGGCUCUCGCAUCGAUGAAGAACGCAGCGAAAUGUGAUAAGUAAUGUGAAUUGCAGAAUUCAGUGAAUCAUCGAAUCUUUGAACGCAUCUUGCGCUUUCUGGUAUUCCGGAAAGCAUGCCUGUUUGAGUGUCAUGAAACUCUCAACCCCACGGGUUUUGUAAUGAAACUUGUGCUGGGCUUGGAUCCUGAGUGCUGCCGGCUUGUACAAGUCUGGCUCAUUCGAAAUACAUUAGCGAUCACGCAAUUUGUGUUGGUUUGACUUGAAGUGAUAGUUGAAUAAUUCCUUCAAGGACAUCUCUGGUAAAACAGAGGUGACCACGCCUUUUGCCCGAACGCUCAUAAAAUCUAUACUUUUUAUCAUGAUUAGACCUCAAAU
rnacentral:rRNA from 1 species